GCCGCGUUGGCGUAGUGGUAGCGCGUCGCACUUGUAAUGCGAAGGUCACUAGUUCAAAUCUGGUACGUGGCA